rnacentral:rRNA from 1 species
UACGAAGGGGGCUAGCGUUGCUCGGAAUUACUGGGCGUAAAGCGUGCGCAGGCGGUUGUGCAAGACAGAUGUGAAAUCCCCGGGCUCAACCUGGGAAUUGCAUUUGUGACUGCACGGCUAGAGUGUGUCAGAGGGGGGUAGAAUUCCACGUGUAGCAGUGAAAUGCGUAGAGAUGUGGAGGAAUACCGAUGGCGAAGGCAGCCCCCUGGGAUAACGACUGACGCUCAUGCACGAAAGCGUGGGGAGAAACAGG